rnacentral:rRNA from 1 species
CACAAGCGGUGGAGUAUGUGGUUUAAUUCGAUGCAACGCGAAGAACCUUACCUGGUCUUGACAUCCCGGAGACCCUUAGGAAACUAGGGGGUGCUUCCAUCUGGAAGAAUCUGGAGACAGGUGCUGCAUGGCUGUCGUCAGCUCGUGUCGUGAGAUGUUCGGGUUAAGUCCCGCAACGAGCGCAACCCUUGCCUUUAGUUGCCAGCAGUUCGGCUGGGCACUCUAAAGGGACUGCCGGUGUUAAACCGGAGGAAGUGGGGAUGACGUCAAGUCCUCAUGGCCUUUAUGACCAGGGCUACACACGUACUACAAUGGCCGAUACAAAGGGCAGCGACACUGCGAGGUGAAGCCAAUCCCGUAAAAUCGGUCUCAGUCCGGAUUGGAGUCUGCAACUCGACUCCAUGAAGUUGGAAUCGCUAGUAAUCGUGGAUCAGCAUGCCACGGUGAAUACGUUCCCGGGCCGU